UCAUAAAAAUGCAAUCUGUUUGAAGAACAUUUGCCCCUUAAUUGGCAUGAAAAUUCAUCUAGUUUAGCAUUAAGUAUAUCAAGGAUUUACACCUUCCAUCCCAAAAUGUGGAAUACAAAUUUCUUCAACAAUUAGCAAUCAAAUCUAAAAUUAGCUACAAUUGUCCCAAGCACUGCUGCAAAGCAACAAGCCCUUGACAGACAUUAGUUGGUACAAAUUCCAGCCCUUGACAGACAUUAGUUGGUACAAACAGAGAAGAAGAACCACAACAGG
rnacentral:lncRNA from 1 species